UUUUCGUAGGUGAACCUGCGAAAGGAUCAUUAUCGGCACAUCCCGAACAACGCUGUUCCAAGAGGCGUCGGCCUUCUCGAGAGGCGACGCCGGAGUCUCGAAAGCAUGCGUGGUGGACGGCUCGGUUCCCGCGUCGAUGAAGGACGUAGCGAGAUACGAAAGGUGUUGCGAAUUGCAAGAUUUCGCGAGUCAAUGACCAUCCGAAUGCAUCGCCGCCCUCCCCUCGCCCUCGGGCGGAGGGAGGACGCGUCGGCGACAUCGCCCCGCCAGAGCGCUCUCCCCCUCGUCGCGGAGAGGCGCAGUGGACGAGGCACCCGACUCGCGGUCGGCGUGCCCGUGACGUCGCUCGAAACGUCGCCGCCGCUCGGUCGAAGGGCCGGCGGUCGGAGGCGGACGNAUGUGCAAGACGCUGCGAUGUCGUCGGCGAGGAAACCCGCUGAACUUAAGCAUAUCAUUAAGCGG
rnacentral:rRNA from 1 species